AAUCGAACUCGGAGAUAGCUGGUUCUCCCCGAAAUAGCUUUAGGGCUAGCGUCGAGGUAAAGUCGUGUGAAGGUAGAGCACUGAAUAUGUGAUGGCCCCAUCUCGGGGUACUGAACAUAAUCAAACUCCGAAUGUCACAAAGAUAUACUCGGCAGUCAGACAGUGGGUGAUAAGGUCCAUUGUCAAAAGGGAAACAGCCCAGACCAUCAGCUAAGGUCCCAAAAUAUAUACUAAGUGGAAAAGGAUGUGGAGAUGUCCAGACAACUAGGAGGUUGGCUCAGAAGCAGCCAUCCUUUAAAGAGUGCGUAACAGCUCACUAGUCGAAUGACUCUGCGCCGAUAAUUUACCGGGGCUAAGUAUAUUACCGAAGCUAUGGAUUUACGCGUAAGCGUGAGUGGUAGGGGAGCGUUCUAUGUGCGGAGAAGCGGUACCGUAAGGAGCCGUGGAGCGCAUAGAAGAGAGAAUGCCGGUGUGAGUAGCGAAACGUGGGUGAGAAUCCCACGCACCGAAAACCCAAGGUUUCCAGAGGAAGGUUCGUCCGCUCUGGGUAAGUCGGGACCUAAGGCGAGGCCGAGAGGCGUAGUCGAUGGACAACAGGUAGAGAUUCCUGUACUUACGGUAUGAAUGAUGGAGUGACGGAGAAGGCUAGCGGAUCCUGCUGAUGGAAAUGCAGGUGCAAGCGAGGUAGCCGACAGCCAGGCAAAUCCGGCUGUCGAAAGGCAAAGGCGUGAGGCGUAUGGAAAGCUGCGGCAAGUACAGAAGUCCGUGAAGCCAGCUUCCAAGAAAAGCUUCUAGUGAUAAUCAUACAGUAACCCGUACCGAAAAUGGACACACAUGGGUGAGGAGAGAAUCCUAAGGUGAGCGAGAGAACUAUAGCUAAGGAACUCUGCAAAAUGACUCCGUAACUUAGGGAUAAGGAGUGCUCAUAGAGAUAUGAGCCGCAGUGAAACGGCCCAAGCGACUGUUUACCAAAAACACAGCUCUAUGCUAAGUCGAAAGACGACGUAUAUGGGGUGACGCCUGCCCGGUGCUGGAAGGUUAAGAGGAUGUGUCAGCGCAAGCGAAGCAUUGAAUUGAAGCCCCAGUAAACGGCGGCCGUAACUAUAACGGUCCUAAGGUAGCGAAAUUCCUUGUCAGGUAAGUUCUGACCCGCACGAAAGGCGUAACGAUUUGGGCGCUGUCUCAGCUGUAGACUCGGUGAAGUCUUAGUACCUGUGAAGAUGCAGGUUACCCGCGACUAGACGGAAAGACCCCAUGGAGCUUUACUGUAGCUUGAUAUUGGACUUUGAUGCAAGAUGUACAGGAUAGGUAGGAGACUGAGAGACAUGCACGCCAGUGUGUGAGGAGUCAAUGUUGGGAUACUACUCUUCUUGUAUUGGAGUUCUAACCGGAUGCCAUGGAACUGGCAACGGGACAGUGUCAGGUGGGCAGUUUGACUGGGGCGGUCGCCUCCCAAAGAGUAACGGAGGCGCCCAAAGAUACCCUCAGCUUGGAUGGAAAUCAAGCGCAGAGUGCAAAGGCAUAAGGGUGUUUGACUGCGAGACCUACAAGUCGAGCAGGGACGAAAGUCGGGCUUAGUGAUCCGGCGGUGCUGAAUGGAAAGGCCGUCGCUCAACGGAUAAAAGCUACCCUGGGGAUAACAGGCUGAUCUCCCCCAAGAGUCCACAUCGACGGGGAGGUU
rnacentral:rRNA from 1 species